rnacentral:rRNA from 1 species
UACGGAGGGGGCGAGCGUUAUUCGGAAUUAUUGGGCGUAAAGGGCGCGUAGGCGGCUUUCUAAGUCAAAGGUGAAAUCCCUCGGCUCAACUGAGGAACUGCCUUUGAAACUGGACGGCUUGAGGCCGGGAGAGGGUAGCGGAAUUCCCAGUGUAGCGGUGAAAUGCGCAGAUAUCAGGAGGAACACCAAUGGCGAAGGCAGCUCACUGGGACGGUAUUGACGCUGAGACGCGAAGGCGUGGGGAGCAAACAGG